GGACUACUAGGGUAUCUAAUCCUGUUCGCUCCCCACGCUUUCGCUCCUCAGCGUCAGUAUCGGCCCAGAGACCCGCCUUCGCCACCGGUGUUCCUCCUGAUAUCUGCGCAUUUCACCGCUACACCAGGAAUUCCAGUCUCCCCUACCGAACUCAAGUCUGCCCGUAUCGACGGCAAGCUCAAGGUUAAGCCCCGAGUUUUCACCGUCGACGCAACAAACCGCCUACGAGCUCUUUACGCCCAAUAAUUCCGGACAACGCUCGCACCCUACGUAUUACCGCGGCUGCUGGCAC
rnacentral:rRNA from 1 species